GAGAAUCAAUUUCGAAAAGGUGAUCAUUGUUCGUAUGCAAGUCAUUUUGUACAUACCCAACGAGAGUCUUUCUAUUCUGAUUCAUUUGUAAAAUCUCUAUCUUGUAAUGAAAGGAAGACACAAAAAGAAAUAAAAAGAAAAGAGAGGCAAGAGAUGUUGAUGCGAGAAAAUGAGCGAAUAUGGAAUGAGAUUGAGAGACGAAAAAAAUAAAUUGAAGAAAGAAGAGAAAAUGAGUUAGAAAAAGAAAGAAAAAAAAGAAAAAGAAAUUGCAAAAGAAAAAGAAAUCGAAAAAGUAAGAGAAAAAGAAAAUGAAGAAAAGAAAAUUGAAAAAGAAAUUGAGAUUGAGAAAAAAAUUGUAAAAGAAAAAGAUGUUGAAAAAGAAACGAGAGAAAAUGAAGAUAGUGAGCGAGAGCAAGC
rnacentral:lncRNA from 1 species